rnacentral:tRNA from 1 species
GGCUUUGGUGAAGUUGGUUAACACACCUGACUGUGACUCAGGUAUGCGCGGGUUCGAGUCCCGUAGG